UCUUCCACAUCUGGGAACGAAAAGAGAGAGAGUCACGGGAGUGUGGUUGCAUAGCUAGACUUAUAUAUUAAUGAUUCAUCUCCCGUCAUGACUAUUUAAGCUCUCAAAAGGCGCUAACUAUCCCUCCCUCUCCCAGCAAUUUACUUACUUCGCAGCUCUCGGAAAUCCCUAGAAGAUCUUCUUCUUCUUCCUCCCCCCAUUGCAGAAACCGCCAUGGAUGAGGCUCUGACUAAAUGGAACGUCACCUUCACGAAGCACCUCAGGCAGAAGCGCAAGCUCUAUCACAACGGCUUCCUCUCUCUCCACUCCUCCACCGCCAAGGCACAUUCCCUUUCUCUCACUACUGAUCUUUGCCAUUGAUGUCUUCUGCCUUUUGAUGUUGCUACCUUUCGCAUGUGCACUUAGAUUUAGGCAAAAUGAAAAUAAAUUUAUCUUGUUCAGGUGCGUCAUUGAAUUUACAAUAAGCUUUGUAAAGCCCGCAAAAUGGAUAGAUUGUUUCGUGGACCUGCUCUAGAAAGAGAAUGCCAUGCAAUUAAGCCGGGGAAUGGUUUUACUGUUUUUGAUGCACACACUUCAUUUUUCAUUUCCUUCAAAGUUUACUCUCAUGUUUAUUGUAGGAACCUAUGUUGCGGUACUUACUCCAGCUCGCAAAUGAUCUCUUGUAAUGCAAUUGAUGCAGCCUAUCAAAUAUUAUCUGUCCUCUGAAAACCAUUAGAUCAAGUUGCCGUUGCUGAAAAUUCAUAUGAAAGGAAGACAACUUUUGCUUCACUAACAAAGGAGCUUCAGGAUGCAGAUAAGUUUUGUGAUGGUGCUCAAAGACAGAACACCCGCUGCUGAACUAGCUUCAGUGGAGGAUGUGGACACUGGAAAUCUAACUGAUACUACUGACAAUGAAAAGUGACCUGGCCUCAUGAAGUCUAAAGGGGUCUUUGUAAUUGGCAACUCACGGGCAUUUCACAGUUACUUGUCCUACUCUGUUUACAGUAAUUGAUUCUUUCAUCUCUAUUUUAACCCAUCUGUGGCAAGGUUGUGACUCUAAGCAUCUUGAAAUUCCAUUAGAGCUUAAUGAGUUUUGAUGUUUGUUGAAACUCUUUGGUCCAAACUACCAGACAAGCUAUAGCAGCGGAUAGCAAAUGCUUGUAGGGAAUUAUCAGACUAGAUGCAUAAGGACCUGCUGAAUUCUCUAAUACAUCCCAGUCCAAAGUCUAGUUCUUUAUUUACCUUGAGGACAUUUUCAAUUUCACUGAGCUUCGCAUGACUAGUUUGUACGUCUGCUGCAAUUAACGUUUGCAGCCUUCUCAUGUACAAGCUGACCCCGAAUGCUGCAGCAGCAAUCUUGUUUCUGAAGCAUCUCUUUCACGUGGUUCUCACGGUGAUGCUAAUGACGAAAGGAUAACCCCUGAAGGACGUAGGGAUUUACUGAAAGUGAAGGCUGGGUGUCCUAGUUUUGAUCUUGGAUUUUGAACCAUGUCCAUUGGUUAAUCAACUAUAUUGCUACUGUCAAGAGUCGGGAUGGAGUGCACAAGAGUCUCAUGUCUAUCACACACGAAAUCUGUCGGUGUGAGCUAUUAUUUUGAUGUUAAGUGUUCUAGUGCCAAGUUCACUUGCAGCUCUAUGAUCUGAAACGUUUUUAGUUAGACGACAAACUCAAUGUAUUUCCAGUGAUCUUCAACAUAUCGAGGUACCCUUAUGAUGCAAAGAAACUGAGAUAUGGGUCUAUCCAGUUUCCUUUAUCCCCUGUU